UAAGAGACCCUCACCUUUUUUCUCUUCCAGCAAAAGCUUGUUUUCACGGUGAUAGCAAGAAAGAGGUACCAGGACUCCCUCAGCAGAAUCUUUCAGAGGAAUGAAGGUUAUAAAAUAUGCUUAUCCAGCCUGUGUAAGCAAGUGUGUAAAUCUGAGUGUUGCAGUUCAAGAAAUCCACUCUGUAAUGCCAAUUAAAGGACUAACCAAACCUCUCGCAUUUAAGUACCUGAACCCUUCCAAACAUACUUAGGGGUGCAGGAUUGCACAUCCUAUUAGGAACCUGCUAAGCUAGCCUGACAUCCUAGCUGGAUUUUUAAGGUACUCUAUGAAGAUU
rnacentral:lncRNA from 1 species